rnacentral:misc_RNA from 1 species
UUUGCAUGCUUUGAAACAUUCCAAGGAUACCACUCAACAAAAGCACAUAGCAAUGGCAUCAAAAAAUGGGAAAUGGGGUUUGUGUUAUGUUUGAAUUUCAAUGGAGUUGUUGUGAUUUUGGUUAUUUGAAGCAAGUGGGAUUUGUGGGUUUUGAUUCAAUUGAGUGAUGGGUCCUGUUAGAGGGCAUAAAAAGAAGAGGAAGG